AUUGAACGCUGGCGGCAUGCUUUACACAUGCAAGUCGAACGGCAGCGCGGGGCAACCUGGCGGCGAGUGGCGAACGGGUGAGUAAUAUAUCGGAACGUACCCAAGAGUGGGGGAUAACGUAGCGAAAGUUACGCUAAUACCGCAUACGAUCUAUGGAUGAAAGCAGGGGACCUUCGGGCCUUGUGCUCCUGGAGCGGCCG
rnacentral:rRNA from 1 species